rnacentral:tRNA from 1 species
GUCUGUGUAGUUUAAAUGGAAAAACUGUUAAAUAAGGGUUCGAUUCCCUUCACAGACUCA